GGGGAAUAUUGCACAAUGGGCGCAAGCCUGAUGCAGCCAUGCCGCGUGUAUGAAGAAGGCCUUCGGGUUGUAAAGUACUUUCAGCGGGGAGGAAGGCGAUAAGGUUAAUAACCUUGUCGAUUGACGUUACCCGCAGAAGAAGCACCGGCUAACUCCGUGCCAGCAGCCGCGGUAAUACGGAGGGUGCAAGCGUUAAUCGGAAUUACUGGGCGUAAAGCGCACGCAGGCGGUCGGUCAAGUCGGAUGUGAAAUCCCCGGGCUCAACCUGGGAACUGCAUUCGAAACUGGCAGGCUGGAGUCUUGUAGAGGGGGGUAGAAUUCCAGGUGUAGCGGUGAAAUGCGUAGAGAUCUGGAGGAAUACCGGUGGCGAAGGCGGCCCCCUGGACAAAGACUGACGCUCAGGUGCGAAAGCGUGGGGAGCAAAC
rnacentral:rRNA from 1 species